UACGUAGGGUGCGAGCGUUGCCCGGAUUUAUUGGGCGUAAAGGGCGCGUAGGCGGCUCGGCACGUCCGUUGUGAAAUCGCCCGGCUCAACUGGGCGGGGUCAGCGGAUACGGUCGAGCUUGAGCAAGCUAGGGGGCAAUGGAAUUCCCGGUGUAGUGGUGGAAUGCGUAGAUAUCAGGAGGAACACCGAUGGCGAAGGCAGGUCUCUGGGCCACUACUGACGCUGAGAAGCGAAAGCAUGGGGAGCGAACAGG
rnacentral:rRNA from 1 species